rnacentral:sRNA from 1 species
AGCUAAACCUGACAGUAGCGAGCAUCCCGAUUUUUUCUAUCGGGAUAAAGCGAAUGGCAGGACUUUCG